UACGAAGGGAGCUAGCGUUGUUCGGAAUCACUGGGCGUAAAGCGCACGUAGGCGGAUGUGUCAGUCAGGGGUGAAAUCCCGGAGCUCAACUUCGGAACUGCCUUUGAUACAGCACGUCUUGAGUCCGAUAGAGGUGGGUGGAAUUCCUAGUGUAGAGGUGAAAUUCGUAGACAUUGGGAAGAACACCAGUGGCGAAGGCGGCUACCUGGACCAGCACUGACACUGAGGCACGAAAGCGUGGGGAGCAAACAGG
rnacentral:rRNA from 1 species